rnacentral:rRNA from 1 species
UCAGAGAAGAAGUUCUGACGGUAUCUGAGGAAUAAGCAUCGGCUAACUCCGUGCCAGCAGCCGCGGUAAGACGGAGGAUGCAAGCGUUAUCCGGAAUGAUUGGGCGUAAAGCGUCUGUAGGUGGUUUAUUAAGUCUACUGUUAAAGAUCAGGGCUUAACCCUGAGUCGGCAGUAGAAACUAAUGAGCUUGAGUACGGUAGGGGCAGAGGGAAUUCCCGGUGUAGCGGUGAAAUGCGUAGAGAUCGG